CUGUGCGUAGCUCAGCCCGGUAGAGCGCCUGCUUUGGGAGCAGGUGGUCGGUGGUUCGAAUCCAUCCGCGCAGACCA
rnacentral:tRNA from 1 species